rnacentral:misc_RNA from 1 species
GCCCUGUCCAUCACACAUUACUCAUACCAGUUACCAGGUGUUAAGGAUCUUGAGAUAUUGUUGUGUUUGCAAUCCUACCAUCCAUAGGACUCCUAUAUCCGGACUCCAAGUCCUGAUCUAAUACCAACUCCUAGUCCUAGCAGGAGACUAAAACAAAGACCUAUAUAAAGGGGCUAUCAAAUACACUUAUCUCAACUUGAAUCCAUUAAUCUCUUAUCAGUUCUCACACUGACUUAAGCAUCAA